ensembl:snoRNA
ACGGAGGUCUAUCCCAAUGGGGCUUCUCCAUAGCCACACAUGGUUGGAAAUGCUUCAUACACUAACUCUGUGGUUUUGCUUGACUCACAGGACUGUUACUUAGGUCUUUGGGAACUGCAAGACAGUU